rnacentral:hammerhead_ribozyme from 1 species
AUCCAGUUGACGAGCCCCGAAUAAGAUGAAAUUCGAAUCCUGGAU